rnacentral:rRNA from 1 species
GGCGGCUAGACUUUUCAUAGAGGAGCUUGUCCAUAAUUGUAACAACCCAAUAUCUCUAACCUUAAAAAUUCUUGUUUAUUUCCGUUAUUAGAAGCAAUUUUAAUAUACACAAAUAGUAAAAAUUUCAGGUCAAGAUACAGAAUUUUAAGGGAAAGAUUAGCUAUUUUUAUGUAAUUAAAGAAACAAAAAUUUAAACUCUUGUCAAAUUAAAUUUAACUGUAAUUUUUUUUAAAAGAAACUAAUGAAAUAAAAAUCUA